AUUGAACGCUGGCGGAAUGCUUUACACAUGCAAGUCGAACGGCAGCACGGACUUCGGUCUGGUGGCGAGUGGCGAACGGGUGAGUAACAUAUCGGAACGUAUCCAAUAAUGGGGGAUAACGAGUCGAAAGAUUCGCUAAUACCGCAUACGCCCUACGGGGGAAAGCUGGGGACCUUCGGGCCUGGCGUUAAUGGAGCGGCCGAUAUCUGAUUAGCUAGUUGGUGAGGUAAAGGCUCACCAAGGCGACGAUCAGUAGCUGGACUGAGAGGACGACCAGCCACAAUGGAACUGAGACACGGUCCAGACUCCUACGGGAGGCAGCAGUGGGGAAUUUUGGACAAUGGGCGCAAGCCUGAUCCAGCCAUUCCGCGUGAGUGAAGAAGGCCUUCGGGUUGUAAAGCUCUUUCGCAAGGGAAGAAAACUUAGCCACUAACAUUGGUUGAGGUUGACGGUACCUUGAUAAGAAGCACCGGCUAACUACGUGCCAGCCGCCGCCGUAA
rnacentral:rRNA from 1 species